GUCGAGGGGUAGAGUUCUUCGGAACUUGAGACCGGCGCACGGGUGCGUAACGCGUAUGCAAUCUACCUUAUACAGGGGAAUAGCCCAGAGAAAUUUGGAUUAAUGCCCCAUAGUGUUAUCGAAUCGCAUGGUUUGAUAACUAAAGUUCCAACGGUAUAAGAUGAGCAUGCGUCCCAUUAGUUAGUUGGUAAGGUAACGGCUUACCAAGACAAUGAUGGGUAGGGGUCCUGAGAGGGAGAUCCCCCACACUGGUACUGAGACACGGACCAGACUCCUACGGGAGGCAGCAGUGAGGAAUAUUGGUCAAUGGGCGCAAGCCUGAACCAGCCAUGCCGCGUGCAGGAAGAAGCAUCUAUGGUGUGUAAACUGCUUUUAUACAGGAAGAAACAUCCCGACGUGUCGGGACUUGACGGUACUGUAGGAAUAAGGAUCGGCUAACUCCGUGCCAGCAGCCGCGGUAAUACGGAGGAUCCAAGCGUUAUCCGGAAUCAUUGGGUUUAAAGGGUCCGUAGGCGGCCUUAUAAGUCAGUGGUGAAAUCUCCUAGCUCAACUAGGAAACUGCCAUUGAUACUGUAAGGCUUGAAUUUUUGUGAAGUAACUAGAAUAUGUAGUGUAGCGGUGAAAUGCUUAGAUAUUACAUGGAAUACCAAUUGCGAAGGCAGGUUACUAACAAACGAUUGACGCUGAUGGACGAAAGCGUGGGGAGCGAACAGGAUUAGAUACCCUGGUAGUCCACGCCGUAAACGAUGGAUACUAGCUGUUCGGAGCAAUCUGAGUGGCUAAGCGAAAGUGAUAAGUAUCCCACCUGGGGAGUACGCACGCA
rnacentral:rRNA from 1 species